rnacentral:rRNA from 1 species
UAAGGUCACGGCUAGACGAGCCGUUUAGCAUUACAAUAAGUGUCAAGUGGAAGUGCAGUGAUGUAUGCAGCUGAGGCCUCCUAACGGACCGGUAGACUUGAAC